UACAGAGGGUGCGAGCGUUGUUCGGAAUUAUUGGGCGUAAAGCGCACGUAGGCGGUUGUGUAAGUCGGGUGUGAAAUUUCGGAGCCUAACUCCGAAACUGCAUUCGAAACUGCACAGCUUGAGGUCUGGAGAGGUGAUUGGAAUUCUAGGUGUAGCAGUGAAAUGCGUAGAUAUCUAGAGGAACACCAGAGGCGAAAGCGAAUCACUGGACAGAACCUGACGCUGAGGCACGAAAGCUAGGGGAGCAAACGGG
rnacentral:rRNA from 1 species